CCCUUUUUACAGAAUUUAAUACUGUCUGAAAUAUACUUGUUUGUGGUGUCCUGCCACUAAAUCCCGGAGGGAAGGGAUUUUUGUCUGUUUUGCUCCCCAUCAUCUAAAACAGUACUUGGCACAAGAGGUUCAACAAGUCGUUGAAUUAAUGAAUAGUGGACAUGAACUUGACAAAACAGGUUCCCUACCUCAAGAGGCAUGGCCGCAGUGAGGAGACGUUAAAAGAAUUAAAAUAAAACUGUAUAUGUUUAGUGGGAACACAGGAGCCUUUAAAUUAGCUCAGAGGAUUUACAUAAAAACAUGCGAUAAAAUAGGGUUACAACUCAGAUCUUUGGACUCUCGUGCUGAUGCCCUUUCCAGUAUACCAUAAUGCUUGUUUUCUAUAAUUGAAAGACUACAUGGAUUGAAAACACUUUAUGUAUCAGCUGUCUUAGCCCAUUGUUGGAACAAGGCAAGGUAGACAUAAAAUCUGCAUAUCCUCACCGUUUGAAUCUCUUUUACCUUGCCAAUGAUGUCAUACAGAACUGUAAAAGGAAAAAUGCAAUCAUAUUCCGUGAAUCAUUUGCUGAUGUACUUCCUGAAGCAGCUGCUCUAGUGAAGGAUCCAUCUGUCUCUAAGUCUGUAGAACGAAUCUUUAAAAUCUGGGAAGAUAGAAAUGUAUACCCAGAAGAAAUGAUUGUGGCAUUGAGAGAAGCUUUGACAUCUACAAAUCCAAAAGCUGCUCUCAAGUCUAAGAUAGUUGCUGAAUUUCGAUCUCAGGCCCUAAUUGAAGAGCUGUUGCUAUACAAGCGCUCAGAAGAUCAGAUAGAACUGAAGGAAAAGCAGUUGUCAACUAUGAGGGUGGAUGUGUGCAGCACAGAAACUCUCAAAUGCUUAAAAGAUAAAACAGGUGGGAAGAAGUUCUCCAAAGAAUUUGAAGAGGCAAGCUCCAAGCUGGAAGAAUUUGUGAAUGGAUUAGAUAAGCAGGUGAAAAAUGGACCCUCAUUAACAGAAGCACUGGAAAAUGCUGGAAUUUUCUAUGAAGCACAAUACAAAGAAGUAAAAGUGGUGGCCAAUGCAUAUAAAACCUUUGCUAACCGAGUAAACAAUUUAAAGAAGAAGUUGGAUCAAUUGAAGUCAACCCUUCCAGAUCCUGAAGAAUCACCAGUUCCUUCCCCAAGCAUGGACGCUCCCUCCCCGACUGGUUCUGAGUCUCCUUUUCAGGGAAUGGGAGGUGAGGAAUCCCAGUCACCAACCAUGGAGAGUGAGAAAUCUGCCACACCUGAACCUGUGACAGAUAAUCGUGAUGUGGAAGACAUGGAACUCUCAGAUGUGGAAGAUGAUGGGUCAAAAAUCAUUGUCGAGGACAGGAAGGAAAAACCUGCAGAGAAGUCAGCUGUAUCCACUUCCGUACCUACAAAGCCAACAGAAAAUAUCUCAAAGGCCUCUUCAUGUACCCCAGUGCCUGUGACCAUGACAGCAACUCCACCUCUUCCAAAGCCUGUGAAUACUUCUCUUUCCCCUUCCCCAGCGUUGGCUUUGCCAAACCUGGCUAAUGUGGAUCUGGCAAAGAUCAGUUCCAUCCUUAGCAGUUUAACGUCAGUCAUGAAAAAUACUGGGGUCAGUCCUGCAUCAAGACCUUCUCCAGGAACUCCCACCAGCCCCAGCAACCUCACCAGUGGCCUGAAAACACCUGCACCUGCCACGACAACAUCUCACAACCCUCUGGCAAAUAUCCUCUCCAAGGUGGAGAUCACCCCAGAGAGCAUUCUGUCUGCACUUUCCAAAACCCAGACACAGUCAGCCCCUGCACUGCAAGGCCUGUCAUCUUUACUUCAGAGUGUUACUGGGAACCCAGUUCCAGCCAGUGAAGCUGCCUCACAGAGCACUUCAGCCUCCCCUGCCAACACCACAGUCUCUACCAUAAAGGGAAGAAAUCUGCCCUCCAGUGCCCAACCUUUUAUUCCCAAAAGCUUCAGCUAUUCUCCUAACUCAUCAACUUCUGAAGUCUCUUCAACUUCAGCCAGCAAGGCCUCAAUUGCGCAAAGCCCAGGGCUCCCAAGCACUACUUUUAAACUACCUUCCAACACUUUGGGGUUUACAGCUACCCACAAUACUAGCCCUGCUGCCCCACCUACUGAAGUUACCAUGUGCCAAUCUUCAGAGGUCUCCAAGCCAAAGCUGGAGUCAGAGUCCACCUCCCCAAGCCUGGAAAUGAAGAUCCACAACUUCUUAAAAGGUAAUCCUGGUUUCAGUGGCUUAAACUUAAACAUCCCAAUCCUGAGCAGUUUGGGGUCCAGCGCCCCAUCAGAGAGCCAUCCCUCAGACUUCCAGCGUGGCCCUACUAGCACCUCAAUCGACAACAUUGAUGGAACCCCUGUACGGGAUGAACGGAGUGGGACACCCACCCAGGAUGAGAUGAUGGACAAGCCCACAUCCAGCAGUGUAGAUACUAUGUCCCUGCUUUCUAAGAUCAUUAGCCCUGGUUCGUCAACACCCAGCAGUACAAGAUCACCACCCCCUGGGAGAGAUGAAAGCUACCCCCGAGAGCUCUCCAAUUCUGUAUCUACAUAUCGACCCUUUGGUCUGGGCAGUGAAUCUCCCUAUAAGCAGCCUUCUGAUGGAAUGGAGAGACCAUCUUCCCUGAUGGACUCUUCACAGGAAAAGUUCUACCCAGAUACUUCUUUCCAAGAGGAUGAGGAUUACCGAGAUUUUGAGUAUUCAGGGCCUCCACCCUCUGCCAUGAUGAACCUAGAGAAGAAACCAGCCAAAUCUAUCCUGAAAUCAAGCAAGCUGUCUGAUACCACCGAGUACCAGCCAAUUCUGUCCAGUUAUAGCCACAGAGCCCAAGAAUUUGGGGUAAAGUCUGCCUUCCCUCCAUCUGUAAGGGCCCUCCUGGACUCUAGUGAGAACUGUGACCAUCUCUCAUCUUCCCCUGGGCUAUUUGGUGCCUUCAGCGUAAGAGGGAAUGAACCUGGGUCUGACCGGUCACCAUCACCGAGUAAGAAUGAUUCAUUUUUCACCCCUGACUCCAACCACAAUAGCUUGUCUCAAUCUACCACUGGCCAUCUCAGUUUGCCACAGAAGCAGUACCCAGACUCUCCUCACCCAGUCCCACAUCGUUCCCUUUUCUCUCCGCAGAACACCCUUGCCGCUCCCACGGGUCACCCACCCACAUCAGGCGUGGAGAAAGUCCUGGCCUCCACCAUUUCCACCACGUCGACGAUUGAAUUUAAGAAUAUGCUUAAAAACGCCUCACGUAAGCCCUCAGAUGAUAAGCAUUUUGGCCAGGCCCCCAGCAAGGGCACUCCAAGUGAUGGUGUCAGUCUCUCAAACCUCACCCAACCCAGCUUGACCGCCACUGAUCAGCAGCAACAAGAAGAGCACUACCGCAUAGAAACCCGCGUCUCCUCCUCCUGCUUAGACUUGCCUGAUAGCACAGAAGAAAAGGGGGCCCCUAUAGAAACCUUGGGUUAUCACAAUGCAUCCAAUAGGAGGAUGUCAGGGGAGCCGAUCCAGACCGUAGAGUCCAUCCGAGUUCCUGGGAAGGGAAAUAGAGGACAUGGGCGUGAGGCUUCAAGGGUGGGUUGGUUUGAUCUGAGCACAUCAGGUAGCUCUUUUGACAAUGGCCCUUCAAGUGCCUCUGAGUUGGCAUCCCUUGGGGGUGGGGGCAGCGGAGGCCUCACUGGCUUUAAAACAGCACCAUACAAGGAACGGGCACCUCAAUUUCAGGAGAGUGUUGGCAGCUUUCGUUCCAACAGUUUCAACUCAACAUUUGAGCAUCAUCUUCCCCCAUCCCCCUUGGAACAUGGGACACCCUUCCAGAGAGAGCCAGUGGGGCCAUCAUCUGCCCCACCUGUCCCUCCUAAGGAUCAUGGUGGUAUCUUCUCUCGAGAUGCACCCACUCAUCUAUCCUCUGUGGAUCUUUCGAACCCCUUCACAAAGGAGGCAGCCCUGGCCCAUGCUGCCCCACCCCCUCCUCCCGGAGAGCACAGUGGAAUUCCUUUCCCUACCCCACCUCCUCCUCCCCCUCCUGGGGAACAUAGCAGCAGUGGUGGGAGUGGUGUCCCCUUUUCUACUCCACCCCCUCCUCCACCCCCUGUUGACCACUCUGGAGUUGUACCCUUCCCAACCCCACCACUGGCUGAGCACGGAGUGGCAGGGGCUGUGGCAGUAUUUCCCAAGGACCAUAGUUCCCUCCUUCAAGGGACCCUGGCUGAGCAUUUUGGGGUACUCCCAGGACCCAGGGACCACGGGGGCCCCACCCAACGGGACCUCAACGGCCCUGGCCUUAGCCGUGUACGAGAGAGCCUGACCCUACCCUCCCAUUCUCUGGAACACCUGGGCCCACCCCAUGGAGGAGGAGGUGGGGGAGGCAGCAACAGCAGCAGUGGCCCCCCCUUGGGUCCCUCACACAGAGACACCAUCAGCCGGAGUGGUAUGAUCUUACGGAGUCCCCGGCCAGACUUUCGGCCUAGGGAACCUUUUCUCAGCAGAGACCCGUUUCACAGUUUAAAGAGACCCAGGCCACCUUUUGCUAGGGGCCCUCCGUUCUUUGCACCAAAACGCCCAUUCUUCCCUCCCAGGUACUGAUGGAAACCAAGGGAAAGGCAUUUUGAACAGUCUAGAGAACAUGGAAGUAGGAGUUUGGUUUAUUGUUGUUUUUAUUUGUUUUCUCUUUCUCGAUUUUUUUUUUUUAUUAUAACAAAGGGCCUCUCUUCCAAAGUAAGAAAUCACAUAUGCUUACGUUUUACUAUUCAAUUCAAUCCUCCCUCCCAUUGCACUUAUCUACCUUCCCCAAGUUGUUUGUAUU
rnacentral:sRNA from 1 species